rnacentral:lncRNA from 1 species
GUCUGACGUGGCUUCUGAUUGAGUGCAGGAAGCUCCUGCAGCCAAUCGGAAGCCACACCUUGGUUUUUGAAUGGUUUCAGGAAUCGAACGGAGUCCCGGAAUGGAUUAUGUUCGAGAACCAAGGUACUUACCUUUUCCUGCUCACCUCAUGCUGUAUGUGACAGGUGUACAGUCACAUCUCGUGUUGUGUUUGCUUCAGGUUGAGCGUUUUCAGGUUGCGUCCCGCGAUGACCCGGAAGUACCAGAAAGGGUUACUUCCGGGUUUCGCCGCUCGCGCAUGCGCAGAUGCUCAAAAUGACGUCAAGCGCAUGCACAGAAGUGGCAAAUUGCGACCCGCGCAUGCACAGAUGUGCAAACGCAGGUUGCGUUCUGCUCAUAGAAUCAUAGAAUCAUAGAGUUGGAAGAGACCACAAGGGCCAUCGAGUCCAACCCCCUGCCAAGUUCGCAAUCCCAUUCGCAACCAGAGGUACCACUGUCUGUUGUUUUAGACUGGAAGCUAAACAGAGCGUGCUGAAGGCCAGACAGAGGGGUCUGGACCAUUUCGACUCCCAAGCCUGAGGUUUGCCCACCCCAGUAUAAAGGGCCGUGCAGAUAAUGUGAUGCAAAGGAUAUUGAACUUUCAGCAAAACACCGUGAUUCAUUAACCAACCCUGGCGCUUCAGAAAUGCAGUGCUAAAUUUCUAAAUGUGCAUUCCUGUGCCGAGAAGUGUGACAUGUCCCUCUGCUAGACUGGCUUCCCGAAUCCCCUUGACCCUUACCCUCGCAUUUCUAACCUCCUCACCUUUGCUGUGAUAAACGUCAAGGGCUAAGCUCCUUACUGCCUGCUGUGGAACCCGGCACAUACUUGCACAUGGCUCCCCAAAUCAACACAGACUGUGGAAACUUCACACUGGACUUCAAGCAUCUGGUAUUGUGUGCCUCCCCAUUCUUCCUCCAGACUCUGGGGCCUUGGUUUCCAAAUGAGAUGCAAAAGCUGCUCUCAUCAGAAAAGAGAUUUGGGGAGCCAUGUCAUCAGCUGGUGUUGGUCCACUGUGCUUCAUUAAGUCCAGGGUCCACGCAGCUGUCUACCAGGAGAUUUUGGAGCACUUCAUGCUUCCUUCCGCAGACGAGCUUUAUAGGGAUGCUGACUUCAUUUUCCAGCAGGACUUUGGCAUCUGCCCACACUGCCCAAAGUAUCAAAACCUGGUUCAAUGCCCAUGGGAUUACGGUGCUUGACUGGCCAGCAAACUUGCCUGACCUGAACCCCAUGGAGAAUCUAUGGGGCAUUGCCAAGAGACAGAUGAGAGACAUGAGACCAAGCAAUGCAGAAGAGCUAAAGGCUGCUACUGAAGCUUCUUGGUCUUCCAUAACACCUCAGCAGUGCCACAGGCUGAUAGCAUCCAUGCCACGCCGCAUUGAGGCAGUAAUUGAUGCAAAAGGGCCCCAAACUAAGUACUGAGUACAUAUGCAUGCUUCUACUUCUCAGAGGUCCAAUAUUGCUCUAUUUGCAGUCCUUGUUUUGCUGAUUUCAUUUAAUAUUCUAAUUUUCUGAGAUUGUUAUUUUGGGGUUUUCAUCAGCUGUACGCCAUGAUCAUCACAAUGAUAACAAAUAAAGGCUUGACAUAUCUCGCUUUGCAUGUCAUGAGUCUGUCUCAUAUAUUAGUUUCACCUUUUAAGUUGAAUUACUGAAAUAAAUGAACUUUUCCACAAUAUUCUAAUUUUCCGAGUUUCACCUGUAAAAUGAUGAUGAUGAUGAUGACUUUGCCCUUUCCUUUUUACCAGUCUCCUGC